UGGUCGCCAAAAAUAUUGAUUAUUCGCGACAAAUUAAAAUUUGGUCGCCAAAUGUUAUUUUUUUGCGACCAAAAUUUUUUUUGUCGGCAAAAGUGGUCGGCAAAUGUGUAAAUUCUUGUAGUGUCUGAUUCAUGUUUUUGGCCGCUAUUCAUGUCUUAAUAUGAACUUUAUGGUAAAUUGACUAGAUUAUUAUUGUCAUUUUUACUCCUUUGAACUAUCAUUUAAUAUCAUUAUAUUUCCUCUAACUAAAAUAUAUUACAUUUUGUCACAUUGCACUGUCAAUUUGUACAAAUUUAAAAAUUAUAUUAAUAAUCCGUUACAUAAUUGGAUCAAACAUUGACAUGUAACUUACACACGGUAUCUAAAAUGUUAUGAAAUAAUUUAUUAUUAGUAAUUGUGUCCUCGACCAAUGUUUAUACUGGAAUAACAAAGGUAAUCAUUCUAGUAUUUGGAAGGAGAGGCAUAAUUUAUAUUUUCAUUGUUCUGAAAUCUGAAUUUGGGUUUAAAGAUCUGCGAAAAGUAUUGGGGCUCAACGUGCUGAUUUGUUUCCCUUUGAAAAAAUGUUCUUAUAAACAAUAAUUUAUUUGUAUUUCUUUAAAAGUAUAUUCAAUCUCUCUUUUUCUGUUUUAUAAGUUAGACUUGGUCUAGCUUAAUUGUGGUCUUUUUCCCUUUCCAUUUCAGUAAAUGUGUAUGUUCCCAAAGAUAGAGUCACUAAUCUUCAUCAAGGAUAUGGCUUUGUGGAAUUCCGAAGCGAGGACGAUGCAGAUUAUGUAAGCUAUGCUUCAUUGCUCGUGUCAUUGGUUAUGCUUUUUGUACUUUCUUUAUUGUUCAUCAGUUAUGCUCUUUGUAUUUAUUUUACUGUUCUCUUGAGUUUUGCUUUCCUUACUUGCUGGUGGCUGUAUGAUCAGUUCUUUUUUAUAAUUUUAUUUAUCUAUUAUUUUUUAAAUCCACAAUGCAGGCAAUAAAAGUUCUGAAUAUGAUUAAACCUUAUGGGAAGCCAAUAAGAGUGAAUAAGAUGUGAAUGUUUAUCCUCGUCAUGCAUCAUUUUCUGUUUCUUUAUGCUUAUGCUUAGGAUAUUGCCACAGGAGCCAUCAUUAAUGAUUUCAUGGUUUGACUUUCAAAGCCUUUGUUUGAAUUAGAUUUAAAAUCUGAUCAAUAGUUUUAUCUUGUUGUUUUUGGGUUCCAGGCAUCUCAAGAUAAAAAGAGCUUGGGUGUUGGAGCUAACCUUUUUGUGGGAAACCUCAAUCCUGGAAGAAAUUUGAUACACUCGAAUGUAUUUUCAUGCCUUAUAAACUGUUACAUGCCUAUGACACAGUUUUUCAAUUUCGAACCUGGCUUUGAUUUUCUUUGCAGGAUGUGGAUGAGAAACUUUUGUAUGAUACUUUCAGUGCAUUUGGAGUCAUUGCUACAAAUCCCAAGGUCAAACUUCUUUUCUCUUGCUCACGUAUAGUUGUGUUGUUUGUUUCUUAUUGAUAUAUAUAAUAGAACUGAGGACAUGCACUGCUCUUCCAUCCUUAAAAUCUUAUCACUAUGUUUUCAUUCGUGCAUAUUAUUAUUUUUAGUCCUUUGGUUAUGAAACUUAGUUUACAUUAUAGAGAUUGUUCUUUGUUUUGCCCGUGUGUGCUUUCUUAUCAUACGUUCUUUGACUAGGGCAUGAACAAAUUGACAAUGUUUUAAUUUUUUUGGUAUGGACUAACACAGUAGUUUGAGAUAAUAUGUGGAUUAAGAGGAUUAGUCUUUACCAUUUUCUGUUGGAUUGGGGGAAUGGGUAACGUAGGUAUAUUAGACAGUUGAGAACUUGAACGUUAAGAGAAACAAGAAGAAGACAAUAGGAGGAAAAUUCUUGUCAGUUGCAUCCAAAUUCGUAGGCGCGCGCACACACACACACAUACACUAAAGAGAGUACGUGCAGAUUUUCAGUCACGAAUUGAGAUUUUGGAAUCUCAAUUGCAAGCUGCGGGCGUGCCCGUUGCACCAGUUGUUGCACCCUUGAACCCAAUACAUAGGCAGCAGGUAUUUUCAUUAUUUUUACUAGUUAUUACUUUAAAUUGUCCAGAGCUACUACACAACUUAAGCCUCUUAUUCAAUGAUAGGUUGUUGAUUCACUUAGUAGUCGUCCCACUGUUCGGCCAAUGUCACAUCAACAACAAUCUCAUGCAUUUUCAUCCCAAGAGGUUCACCUUUCAAAGAAAGGGAAGAAGAAGAAGAAGAACUAACAAGGUAAAAGUACUAAACAUCACUAGUUUUUAAUUUUUCACUUUUCUAAUUCUAUUAAGACAUGAUGUGAUUUGGUGUUGGAAAUUAGUGAGUAAGCCAAAUCAACCACAUAGUUUUAUAUAUUAAGCUUUUAAAUAUGGCAUGGAAUUAAUUCUAUUUCAUUUCUUGUACUUGUGAUUUGGCUGCAACUGAAACGGAGCCUGAUUUUGUCAUGGACCUAGUCAGGUCUUUCUUAUCAGCCAUUGUGUAGUUGGUUAGAACAUUAUGAGUCUAGUAUGUAGACUUGACGAGUCUUCAUAUGAAUUCUGUAAGUGGGUUAAUGUAUAAUGUCCCAUUACAUCAUGGUUAUGUCCGUCUGACCCUUCCAUAUUUAAUGGAGACCCUUACCUCAUGGUUAAGUUACAAUUCUUUUUUUGUUGGCAAUCAAAAAAAAAAAAUAAGAGAAGAGCAUAGGCCUUGUUGAUUCAUGUUCAAUUUGAAAGUUAAGGAUCUUGUUUAAUGUGUGUUUUCCAGAUAACAUUAUAACCUGUAGCUUUUCUAGUUCCAUUUGAAAGUUGAAGUCUCAUAUACACUGAAGAAGGGAGAAGUGUUUUGAAAUGAUUUUAAGCACUGCAGAAUUAUUGGCAUCUUUUCAUUUAGCUGAUUUUUAGUUGUCAUGGAAGUAGUGUUUUCAUUUAUGCUACUUUCCUAUUCUAUGAAUCCAAUUGUUAGAAAGAUAUGUUGGCCACUUAGUUAGGCAGAUUUUUAUAGUAGAUGGAGCUUUGUGAUUUAAAGUUGCCAGAUGUAGAGAGGGAGUGUAUUACUUCACAUCAAACUUCUUUCAAAGUGCAUGGGAAGGAUGUCAUUAGUGGUGUUGGGGAGUUGAUUCCAACUAAUAGUUAAGCAUGAAUAUUGAGGAUGAAAGAGUUAUCCAUAUUUGAAUGUCUCCUAGUGUCAUUAGAUAUUUAUGGGUUUCACUUGUAUUGGCAAUGCUCUUUUUCUCUGAAAAUGUGCAUAGGAUAGAUUAGGGACUUUUGAAUUCUAAAGGAGAAGUAACUCCAAAAUAUUUUGGCUCAUCUUUGGUGUUUGUGAAUUGGGUUUUGCUAUAUCUUUUCUAGUUCAAACUUUGAAAUUCUGAUUGCUGGUUUGGGUGUGUAAUUGAAUAUAUUGAUUGGAUGAAACCAUUUAUUUGCAUCACUUUUAUUAAUUUGCUUUGCAAGUUCUGAUUCAUAUUUCCCAGUAAUUGAAUCACUUUGGUUGGAUGAAACCAUUUAUUAAUUACAUUUUUUGGUCCAAGUAGAAUGCAGGUUGUUUUUGACUUUAUUCUACUGCUGGGACAUUUGCAGCUAUUUUGGGAACAGUCGGAGCUGAUUUUUUUGCUGAAUUAAUGGGUUCUUUCUAGGAAUUUUUGUAUUUUUCUACUGCCCUAUUAUGGAACUUAUAUUCUACAGGAGAGAGAGAGUCAAUUUGUGUUUAAAGACAAUUCUAAUUGCCUUCUAUAUUAGAUUGUUGUUGGAUGAUUGAGACCCCAGUUGCUUUUCUUUUGGAGUGGUAAAAUGGCAUGCUUUUUGGCCUUUCUGGCUGCUGUUUGUUUAAUGAGAAAUCAAUAAACAUGUUGGGAAAACAACUAUUUGUUCCUGCACUUCUUCCUAAUUUACUUUUAUUAUUUUUUCAGCACUCAAUUGAGAAUUUGUAUCUCUGGAGAUCAUAUGAUAUGCUUGUUUUAAUUCCUCUGGUUUUGGGCAUUUCUUGUGGAUAUGUGUGUUGGGUGAAUGGCAAUGUUAAGUUGGGAGUCUUGCACCGCUCACUUUUAUGUACAUUAAUGUAAUAGGAAGGCUUUUAAACAUAGCAACUUCAUAUUAGUGUUAGUUUUCAGUUUUGUUACAGGAAUUUUUUAGUUCAAUUAUAUAAAAUUAGCACAAUUAAAAAAAAAAAAAAAA